rnacentral:rRNA from 1 species
AGAGUUUGAUUAUGGCUCAGGAUGAACGCUGGCGGCGUGCUUAAUACAUGCAAGUCGAACGAAGACAUCUCGCCGAAGCUUGCUUCAUUGAGAUAUCUUAGUGGCGGACGGGUGAGUAACGCGUGGGUAACCUGCCUUACACAGGGGGAUAACAGUUAGAAAUGACUGCUAAUACCGCAUAAGCGCACAUUAUCGCAUGAUAGAGUGUGAAAAGAUUUAUCGGUGUAAGAUGGACCCGCGUCUGAUUAGCUAGUUGGUGAGGUAACGGCCCACCAAGGCGACGAUCAGUAGCCGGCCUGAGAGGGUGAACGGCCACAUUGGGACUGAGACACGGCCCAAACUCCUACGGGAGGCAGCAGUAGGGAAUAUUGGACAAGUGGGGAAACCCUGAUCCAGCGACGCCGCGUGAGUGAAGAAGUAUUUCGGUAACGUAAAGCUCUAUCAGCAGGGAAAGAAAAUAACGGUACCUGACUAAGGAGCACCGGACUAAAUACGUGCCAGCCGCAGC